GACGAACGCUGGCGGCGUGCUUAACACAUGCAAGUCGAACGGAAAGGCCCUGCUCUUGUUGGGUGCUCGAUUGGCGAACGCGUGAGUAACACGUGAGUAACCUGCCCCUGACUUUGGGAUAACUUCAGGAAACUGCGGCGAAUACCGGAUAGGAGCUCUUGCUGCAUGGUGGGGGUUGGAAAGUUUCGGCGGUUGGGGAUGGUCUCGCAGCUUAUCAGCUUGUUAGUGGGGUAGUGGCUUACCAAGGCUUUGACGGGUAGCCGGCCUGAGAGGGUGACCGGCCACAAUGGGACUAAGAUACGGACCAGAAUGCUACGGGAGGCAGCAGUGGGGAACAUUGCAGAAUAGGGGGGAGCCUGAUGCGACAACGCCGGGUGCGGGAUACCGGCCUUCGAGUUGUAAACCAAUUUCGCCGGUGACGAAGCCGGCGUGACGGUAAUGGAUAAAGAAGCACCGGCUAACUACGUG
rnacentral:rRNA from 1 species